GCCCAGGAUCAGCGCUCUCAGCUGAGCUGUAGUGCAGGUCGACACGAAAAUCUUCAAGGGUUUCAUGGAAGGAGGCAGAGGUCAUUCAUUGACAAGAAUUUACAGACAAGGACACGAAAACUCAGAAAGAUGAAAUGCCGUGUCCAGAAUCUCCGUUUCCCAGCUCAGUGGUGAGGAGCAGAUGACUCUGAGAUAGACCUGUGUGUAGCUGCCCUGGAAUGCCUGUGGGAAGAGAUGACCCAAUACAAGCGAGAGAAUUGCCCAAUUUUGGAUUCCUCUUUCUCAAGUUGGAAAGAUAAGGUAUAUGAAUAAGAGGACAACUAGC